GACGAACGCUGGCGGCGUGCCUAAUACAUGCAAGUAGAACGCUGAAGGAGGAGCUUGCUCUUCUGGAUGAGUUGCGAACGGGUGAGUAACGCGUAGGUAACCUGCCUGGUAGCGGGGGAUAACUAUUGGAAACGAUAGCUAAUACCGCAUAAGAGUAGAUGUUGCAUGACAUUUACUUAAAAGGUGCAAUUGCAUCACUACCAGAUGGACCUGCGUUGUAUUAGCUAGUUGGUGGGGUAACGGCUUACCAAGGCGACGAUACAUAGCCGACCUGAGAGGGUGAUCGGCCACACUGGGACUGAGACACGGCCCAGACUCCUACGGGAGGCAGCAGUAGGGAAUCUUCGGCAAUGGACGGAAGUCUGACCGAGCAACGCCGAGUGAGUGAAGAAGGUUGUCGGAUCGUAAAGCUCUGUUGUAAGAGAAGAACGAGUGUGAGAGUGGAAAGUUCACACUGUGACGGUAUCUUACCAGAAAGGGACGGCUAACUACGUG
rnacentral:rRNA from 1 species